AUCCAGUGCCAACAAUCUGACAACAACAGAGAUCUUCUUUCUCCCAGGAGUAGCCAUGUGAUAGAUUCUGACUGAAAGGCUCCUUGACGCAUUAUCACUGAUCCUCUCCACAACUAUGGAAAACGAGUGUCAU